UGCCUUUGCUGUGACAUCUGACUAAAACGCCUUUCCUUUCUUCGCCUGGUGAGAAUCUACGCACUCAUCCAGCUCUGGCAGGGAGAUUUGCCUUUCCCAUUAGGCCAUCAGCUGGGGACAUCUUUGGAGACGAGGUCACUUCUCUGUGUCUCUGCUCAGUUAGCACCCAGCACAGGUGUGGCACUGAGGGGUGCAGUGUGUGUUUAUUGGGAAAAUCAGUGUGGGAAUGAAGCAAUUGGCACAAGUUCUUUCCAUGGCAGAGUGGGGACCAGGGCAGCAGCCUCCCAACUGCUGGGCUGGCUGUGCUGGAGGGAACGCCUGCCUGGGAGAAGGUGUUUGGAGACAGCACGUAACACUCUGUUCCUCUGCUUUGCUCAUCUCCAGAUGCCAGGAUGAUGCGGAAAAAAAAAGUGGUUUUUACUCUGCCAGGAAAAGUUGA
ensembl:lincRNA